CCGACUAGUUCCGGGUUCGAGCCCCGGGCAACCCA
rnacentral:tRNA from 5 species